UACGAGGGGGGCAAGCGUUUGUUCGGAAUUAUUGGGCGUAAAGGGCUCGUAGGCGGUCUGUCGCGUCGGGAGUGAAAACACGGGGCUUAACCCCGGGCCUGCAGUGGGUACGGGCAGACUAGAGUGCGGUAGGGGAGACUGGAAUUCCUGGUGUAGCGGUGAAAUGCGCAGAUAUCAGGAGGAACACCGAUGGCGAAGGCAGGUCUCUGGGCAUUAACUGACGCUGAGGAGCGAAAGCAUGGGGAGCGAACAGG
rnacentral:rRNA from 1 species